GAUGAACGCUGGCGGCGUGCCUAAUACAUGCAAGUCGAGCGAACAGACGAGGAGCUUGCUCCUUUGACGUUAGCGGCGGACGGGUGAGUAACACGUGGGUAACCUACCUAUAAGACUGGGAUAACUUCGGGAAACCGGAGCUAAUACCGGAUAAUAUUUCGAACCGCAUGGUUCGAUAGUGAAAGAUGGCUUUGCUAUCACUUAUAGAUGGACCUGCACCGUAUUAGCUAGUUGGUAAGGUAACGGCUUACCAAGGCAACGAUACGUAGCCGACCUGAGAGGGUGAUCGGCCACACUGGAACUGAGACACGGUCCAGACUCCUACGGGAGGCAGCAGUAGGGAAUCUUCCGCAAUGGGCGAAAGCCUGACGGAGCAACGCCGCGUGAGUGAUGAAGGUCUUCGGAUCGUAAAACUCUGUUAUUAGGGAAGAACAAACGUGUAAGUAACUGUGCACGUCUUGACGGUACCUAAUCAGAAAGCCACGGCUAACUACGUG
rnacentral:rRNA from 1 species